rnacentral:lncRNA from 1 species
AAUGAUGCAUGCAUUUUUGUUUUUAUGUUAAUGCAAAGCUCUUUUAGUUAAUCACAUUCAGUCAUUGCAAGAAAUACUUAACGAUUUACGUUUGCAAUCAAAGAUAAAGGAAAACACAUUAGAGUGAAUCACGAAGCUUCAUUCAUCCUUUGAAGGGAAAUCAAACAUGUUAAAAUACAUGGAAGUAGAAAAGUACAAGUAGUUGAAACAAAUAAACUAACUAGAUAUCAACCCUAAAAGUGAC